rnacentral:rRNA from 1 species
UAACUCUGUGCCAGCAGCCGCGGUAAUACAGAGGGUGCAAGCGUUAAUCGGAUUUACUGGGCGUAAAGCGCGCGUAGGUGCCCAAUUAAGUCAAAUGUGAAAUCCCCGAGCUUAACUUGGGAAUUGCAUUCGAUACUGGUUGGCUAGAGUAUGGGAGAGGAUGGUAGAAUUCCAGGUGUAGCGGUGAAAUGCGUAGAGAUCUGGAGGAAUACCGAUGGCGAAGGCAGCCAUCUGGCCUAAUACUGACACUGAGGUGCGAAAGCAUGGGGAGCAAACAGGAUUAGAUACCCUGGUAGUCCAUGCCGUAAACGAUGUCUACUAGCCGUUGGGGCCUUUGAGGCUUUAGUGGCGCAGCUAACGCGAUAAGUAGACCGCCUGGGGAGUACGGUCGCAAGACUAAAACUCAAAUGAAUUGACGGGGGCCCGCACAAGCGGUGGAGCAUGUGGUUUAAUUCGAUGCAACGCGAAGAACCUUACCUGGUCUUGACAUAGUAAGAACUUUCCAGAGAUGGAUUGGUGCCUUCGGGAACUUACAUACAGGUGCUGCAUGGCUGUCGUCAGCUCGUGUCGUGAGAUGUUGGGUUAAGUCCCGCAACGAGCGCAACCCUUUUCCUUAUUUGCCAGCGGGUUAAGCCGGGAACUUUAAGGAUACUGCCAGUGACAAACUGGAGGAAGGCGGGGACGACGUCAAGUCAUCAUGGCCCUUACGACCAGGGCUACACACGUGCUACAAUGGUCGGUACAAAGGGUUGCUACCUCGCGAGAGGAUGCUAAUCUCAAAAAGCCGAUCGUAGUCCGGAUUGGAGUCUGCAACUCGACUCCAUGAAGUCGGAAUCGCUAGUAAUCGUGGAUCAGAAUGCCGCGGUGAAUACGUUCCCGGGCCUUGUACACACCGCCCGUCACACCAUGGGAGUUUGUUGCACCAGAAGUAGGUAGUCUAACCUUAGGGGGGACGCUUACCACGGUGUGGCAGAUGACUGGGGUGAAGUCGUAACAAGGUAACCGUA